AGGUUACCCGAGGGAAAGUUGCAAAGCACUUUGAAGAGAGAGUUAAAGAGGACGUGAAACCGGUAAGGUGGAAACGGAUAGAGUCGGCGUAUCAUUCAAGUAUUCAGUUACAUUAUUUUUAUGUUGUGACCUCUGAGCUCCAGAUUGGGACAGAGGGAAUCAGCAUAAUUUUUUGUGGUGCAUUUACUUGAUUGGUGCUUGGGGAUGUUUGAGGCAGAUUUGUUUCCGUCGUUUUGAGGCCAGCUUGCUGGUACCCAAACGGUGUUAGCAUUUUUUGUCUUGGGCAUUUGAGUAUGGCUCACGUGUAUUUAUUGGACAGAUCUGAGUGUAAGUUACGGUCGCAUGCGACACGUGCUUUUCAAUUAGUUCGGUCCAGUUAAUGCUCUCGUACUCGUUCCCCAUGUAAAAGCCGGUCAUCUAUCCGACCCGUCUUGAAACACGGACCAAGGAGUUUAUCGUGUGCGCAAGUUUUUGGGUGUUAAAAACUUAAAAGCGAAAUGAAAGUAAAUGACUCUUUAGAGUCUGAUGUGCGAUCUUGUAAAAAAGUGUAGCAUGGCCCCAUUCUAACUGUUUACAGUAGGGUGGCGGAAGAGCGUACGCGGUGAGACCCGAAAGAUGGUGAACUAUUCCUGAGCAGGACGAAGCCAGAGGAAACUCUGGUGGAAGUCCGAAGCGGUUCUGACGUGCAAAUCGAUCGUCUGACUUGGGUAUAGGGGCGAAAGACUAAUCGAACCAUCUAGUAGCUGUUCCCGUCCGA
rnacentral:rRNA from 1 species